GACGAACGCUGGCGGCGUGCUUAACACAUGCAAGUCGAACGGAAAGGCCCUGCUUUUGUGGUGUGCUCGAGUGGCGAACGGGUGAGUAACACGUGAGUAACCUGCCCUUUACUUUGGGAUAACUUCAGGAAACUGGGGCUAAUACCGGAUAGGAGCUCCUGCUGCAUGGUGGGGUGUGGAAAGUUUCGGCGGUUGGGGAUGGACUCGCGGCUUAUCAGCUUGUUGGUGGGGUAGUGGCUUACCAAGGCUUUGACGGGUAGCCGGCCUGAGAGGGUGACCGGCCACAUUGGGACUGAGAUACGGCCCAGACUCCUACGGGAGGCAGCAGUGGGGAAUAUUGCACAAUGGGCGGAAGCCUGAUGAAGCAACGCCGCGUGCGGGAUGACGGCCUUCGGGUUGUAACCCGCUUUCGCCUGUGACGAAGCGUGAGUGACGGUAAUGGGUAAAGAAGCACCGGCUAACUACGUG
rnacentral:rRNA from 1 species